CCAUACAAAAUGUAUGUAUGUAAAACUGCGUCACAAAAGUGACCUUUUUUCGACGAUUGGUUCAUGUCAGAGCGCUGCUUCCUUACAGCUCAGCCUUCGGCGUCGCUUUUUAAGAAAUAUCAAUAUUGAUUUCAGUAGCUUGGCCUCGCAUGAAAGCUCACUUCGCUAAAAGACGCUUCGGGCUUGUCAAGCAAUGCGGAGAUUGCUGAGCUCGAUCUUCACUUCAGUCUCACUUUUUACCUCAAUUUACCAUUGGUUUGUGUUCCUCAUCUCCUCUACUUCAGCUUAGGCUUUGGCCUCGCUGCGCCUAGCUGGGCCUGCAGUCUCGCUUUUUAAUACAAUGGAAUUUGGUUCGUGUCUUUGCUCAACUAUGUACUUAUCCUGAAGCCUGAAGCACGGCUUUGACUUCGCGGCAUGAAAGCUCGCCUCACUUCGGACUUUUAGGCCCAGGUGAAGAUCGGUACCCGGCCUGGCCUUUUAAGAGGCUUUCACAAUUUGCGAUAUUGUUAAUAAAAAUUUCGCGCUCGCUUCGCUCGCGUUUUUUGGUUGACCCUUUAUCUACAUGUUAGCUUGACUGGUAAAUGAAUACAAUUAGACCACGAAAAGUCUGCAAUGAUUUUGAUAGGAUACGCAGUGCAAGUGUUAUUUAUACGUCAUAAUUUCAUAGCAGUUUGACGUUUAAAAUAACACUUGCACUGCGUGUGCUAUCAAAAUCGUUGCAGACUUAUCUUAGUCUAACUCUAAUAAUUUUAAUAUAUGGAAAUUAUUUAUUACUAGGUUGAUUCUAAUCAUGUGGCUCGGCGUUUUGUCUUAUGGUCGGACAAUCGUUGUUCAGUCUCGCAAAAUUAAGCGUAGCCUCGCUUAAAAUUUGCCAUUGUUGUCGCUUAAAAUUUGUUAGAUAGGAAAGUGACGCUCAAGCUCACAGCUUCAGUAUUCCACUGGGGAUUGGCCUAAAGGGCUCUUCCUACACUUGACGCAACGCGGAAUCGGCAAAAAUUGAUAGAAAAAAGCUUUAUGUCCAAGCAAUAAGAGCGAAAAAGACAUCGUUCUGACUAGACUCGGAUCGUCUCGGCUGAAGAUUGAAAUUAAAAACGCAAACUUAUUUCCUUUCCUUAUUUCUCCUUUCCUUAUUUAACUGAACAACUGAACAUGCUGUAUACAGAAUUGACUGUAGGGGGCCCCGAGCCUUGCACUGCCUAGGGGCCCCGACAUGCUUAAUCCGGCCCUGCUUACACAAUAGUUUUUUCUUCGCAAGUGUGUUGAAAAAUAUUGUGUGUAACUCUGUGGGUAAAAAUAUUGCAAACUCGAGCCUGCGGCUGUCGCGAAUUAACAACCUCGUUUCCAAUAUUUCACUUACCCCCGUCGUUACACAAUGUACUAUUAUAUUAAGAAAAUGGCCUAUUAUCGUAUACUUGCUGUAUGUAACUGUAACUCGAAUAUGUGCACACUAAAUUAAUUUAGCUACAAUAGGACCGUAGUUUCUUAAAAACAAAUGGUGUCUACAUAUAACUUAUUUCUAUUGAAUAUAUGUAGGUGAGCUAUUUUAUUUAAAAUAGUACAAACCACUUUAAUAACUUGAAAAUAUUAUGUUAUUUCUGCCCAGAAUAUACUUCCUUUGAUUCUAAAUAUUCUUAUAGAAGUCUCAAGAUUUUUUUUCAUUCCGCUACCAUUUUUCACAGACUUGUAUGAGGAAGACGCAAUGUAUACGCAAACGUAAUCAAUGGGAAAUUUUGGGACACUUUUCUCCUAUCAAGAUCGAAAGAGCGCAUAAUACUAAGUGGCAAAAAUAAUAAUAAUAAAAAAAUGGUGUAGAUAUCUGUGUACAAUUUUAAAUAAAAUCGGCCAGGUUUCAUUUAGUAAAUUAGUUAUUAAAUCAUGUACCUACCUAUUAACUAAGAUUUUUUUCGCUUACAAUAGUAAAUGAGCACAAAUAUAUAGUUCACAGCGCCGUAAAACCAAAACAAAAGAUUAGUAAAAACGAAUUUAACGGUGUUCAAUAUAAGUGUAUUGACUAGUUACUGUUAGAAAAAAAGACAUCAACGUGCAACGCAACCUUCAAUGAAUGACCUUGUACUGCAAUUCUUAUUUUACUAGGUUAAAAUUAACAUAAUAAUUUACAGUAGCAUGCUUGUCUUGUAUAAUACAGAUCAUCUUGAAAUACUUAAGUAGUGUGUUUGUAUUUACUUAAAUACUAAAUACUAACUUUAUCAAAUAAAAUAACAUUCACAAAUAAUUCAAAACAGCCAAUAAAAUACAUAGAUAUUAUGUAAACCUAAAACGAAUACGAUGCAUUAGGUUUAUUGCCAUUUUCUUCUGUCAUGUGUAAACGACCGACGAUGACUAAUACAAUAUUAUAGUUAUAGGCACCACGUAUAUAACGCGCGCAAGUUAUUUCGGCGAUACCUACACAAUGUUAGUUAACGCAAAGUUCAAAGGUAUGUACACUUAGGGUCAGUGUUUGUUUAUUUACAAAACAAGUAUUUAUUUGUUUAUUUGAGUAACUGACCCGAUGUACCAAAGAGUAUAAAAGAUAAGCUAAAUUAAAUAUGUAUUUCAUUGUG